UCAUUUGCUGCAAUCUUUUAUAGGCAGUCAUCAGUCCCCCCGGCUAACAGCUGCAAUAUCCGUAUCUUCUUAUUUGUGGAUUUCGAAAACAGACAGACUUUUCCCACAGUGUGAGUGUGGGAUUUUCUGCCCUUUCUUCUCCUUCAAGCCUACCCUUUCCCGUUCUCUUUUCACUCUCAAGGGGGUAACACAAGCAUUAACGAUGAUGAAAGGGACUCCUAACAUCCAUGGGAAAUAUGUGAAAGUCAAGUGAAGUUAUUAUUUCCCCUCAACUCAAAGGAACACCUAAAAGUAUUAGAAGAUUUUACAGUAUUCCACAUUCAAGACAGACUGAACUCAUUGAUGGCAAAAUUGGAACAUCAGCCAUCAAGCCUUGACCAUGGGUCAGUUCACAUUUCAGAAAAGAGAUCAUUUUCGGAUCUCUGUCAAAAGCACAGGUUUUAAACUGGAUGACACCUUCUGCCCCACUCAUUAUUUUUCCAGGAGGUAAUAAAGAGCUUAUUGGUAGUUUCAUCAGAAGAUCGAACUUGAAGAACCCUCUACUUUUUUUUCUUCUUGCAGUGAUUGGGAUAUCAAGUAGCCCUAAACUAACAUCCUACAAACAUGGUGAAAUCCAGAAUUCUAGGCAAUAGCAGAGGGAGAAGGAAAGGCUGAUGCUCCUUCAAAGUUUCGUCCUCAAUAAAUGAAUAAUUUUUGUCUGAUGAUUCCCUGGAAGAUUCUACUUGUAAACAUGGCUGUAUUUGACCUGAGCUGAAGCUCCCCCAGUGAGAAAAGGCUUCUCUUUGGAGAGAGAGACAGAGCAUGAGCAGGGGAGGGGCAGAGAGAGAUGGAGACACAGAAUCCCAAGCAGGCUCUAGGCUCUGAGCUGUCAGCACAGAGCCCAACGCGGGGCUUGAACCACAAACUGUUGAGAUCAUGACCUGAGCAGAAGUCAGAUGCUUAACCCACUGAGCCACCCUGGUGCCCCGUCACAAAGUCUCUUAUAGGAAGAAAAGCUUUGUUUUUGUUCGUUUUAAUGAAUUUCUUUAUUGUAGCUAAUCAUAUCCCCUGCUUUACAUACUCCAUUUUUGUUGAAUAUUUGUAAUGAAUGUUGUGUUCAUUGAGAAUCUCAAUAACUUUCCACAGUGUGGUUUGAAUUAUGUCAGAUUAUGAGGCACAGACACAUGCUGUAUUAAAUAAAUUAUGUUUUACCUUGAUAAUUUGUUCAGAUACAAUUCUAUUAUCUGUCCUAAUUAUAUAUCCAUUAUUAUUUACUUUCAUAAUGUGAUCUCAUCUUUUCAAUUCCUUUUCUCUUUUACACUAUUGACUUUUACUUUUUUCACCCUUAUUGCUGUGUUUUCACAUAGAAAUAUGUGGCAAUCAUUCCCUGAAACUCCAUAAAUGUAAUCUUUUAAAAAUGUUAUUUUUUUAAGGAAUAAAGCAACUGUAAUUAUAUUUCUCUAAUGGAAGUUUAAAUAUCUGCCAUGGCUAGAAUAUAAAAACAUUUUUAAUGUUUAUUUAUUUAUUUUGAGAGAGAGAAGGAGAGUGCAAGCGGGGAAGGGGCAGAGAGAAACGGAGAGGGAGAGUCCCAAGCAGGCUCUGCACUGUCAGUACUGAGCCCGACAUGGAGCUCUGUCUCACCAACCAUGAGAUCAUGACCUGGGACAAAAUCAGGAGUCAGUCACUCAACCGACUGAGCCGCCCAGGU